GACUUGCUGUUGAGGCGGACAUGUUGGGUUCAAGCAGUUCCAAAUUGGAUUGCGAACUUAUCUGGGAGUUGGCGCCGAUGGCUUGCAUCUGUUCCGUGUACGGACAGAACUUUGCAAAAUGGCUUGGGAGCCUGCAGUAGUGGAAGAGUUUGGUCGCUGAGGACGACGGAUUAGGUUUCUUGUAACUAGGCGGCUCUUGGAGGGUACUCCUGUGGAAAGCCGUAUUUCGAAUUGCCGAGUAAAAGCUGCUGGUUAGACAGACCGUCGAAUGUGCCGGAUGAUCUGGCGAAUUGAGGCUUGUGGUAUGGGGACUUUCUCUUUUUUGCUGCGGCUGCUCUUGAUAUAGAUGAGCGGAUUUUGGCGGCAUCCUCGCUGUUGUCAGCAAUAUCGGAAUCAACAUAUUCCUUAACAGUGCCCCAGCCAUGUUUAUCUGCUAUGCGUAGAAGUUUGUUCCUGUGACGGAGGUUUUCAGCAGUUCAAUUGCGGAACUGAAAUCCCCUGCAAACAGGUUUUUUUUUUUUUUUUGGGAUACAUUAUCUAGCCCUCGUAAUCUGUUCUGGUUGAAAGUGAAUUGGAUUUUGCUUCCUUCUCCACGGAAAUCAGGAUUACUUGGAGACUUGAACUUGUCCUGAAUUUCGCCCAGAAUUGCUGAAUUUUGCUUUUCAAGAGCCGUCUCUAACCUCUUAUUUAUGGAAAGCCAUAGGGGACCCCCAGGUCAUGUUCUAUAUAUUUCAUUGUAAAUCAAUCCUGGCCGGCCAGGAUAUGUUAUCCUGGCCAAGUCAGGAUUGCAAACAUGACCAGCCAUGAUUUUCAAUCCUGGCACAUCCUAUCCUGGCCGGUCAGGUUAUGAUUUCAAUCCUGGCCAAUAACAUGGUCAUCCAAUCCUCACCUGGCCACCCAAACCUGGUCGGUCAUGAUUUCAAACAUAACCAAGCCAGGAUUGAUAACCUGGCCAUCCAAUCCUGGUCAUGAUUUUCAAUCCUGGCCAAGUCAGGAUAACCUGACCAUUCAAUCCUGGUCGGUUAUGAUUUCAAACAUGGCCAAGUCAGGAUUGAUAACGGUAAACCUGGUCGGUCAUGAUUUUCAAUCCUGGCUAAGUCAGGAUUGCAUUGCGCCAGGAUAUAUGACUUCUAAACGCAGUCAAGAUUUCUCAAGCGUCGCCAAGAUUGGCCUGGCCAAGUUGCAUGUUCGAAUGAUUCAAACAAAAAAAACGCUGUCAAGAUUUCCCAAGCGUCGCCAAGAUUUAUUACCCAAGAUUUUCGCUGAUGAAGAUUUAUUAGGCCAAGAUUUUCAAGGACUUAGAUUACAUCAUUCUAUCUGCACAUGCUGCAUGCCGCUGCACUGAAGACUCAGAAGUUAUUGUGAUAACAAGGUGGGUGGUUUGUGUUUUUCGUUCAGUUAUAUAGAUCAAGUCAUUAUGUUUCUACAUCGCUUUCGCCUUAAAUGUAUUUAAUUAAUCAUUACGCUACUCUCUAUAAUUAAUGUAUGUGUGCCUAUCGAGGAAAUUCGAGUCAAAACCAAAUUCGCUCAUCUCAUAUUUUAUAUGUUGACAGUGCUACCGUUUGAGCGAGCGCAGCUUCUUGUAUGUACAUAUUUUGUAAUGUUCAUGCUUUGAUCAGGUUCAAUUCAAACAAUAUCUAUUUGCCAAAUACUCAUGACAUGAAUUUUCUCUCGGGGUUUUAUAUAAAAAAAAUCAUUAAAACAUGUAUGUACAUGAAUGUGACUGAAAUAUUUUUAUGCUAUAUAUACAUUUUAUUUCUACUGCCUUCACUAUGACUUGCUUAACCUUUGAUGCACGACACUCCUCUGGACUGUAUGCUCUCAGCAGUCUACUGCCUCUAUACGUAUUUCUUUUUUUUUUUAUUCUCAAUCUUUUCAAGUUACGAAUUGUAUGAUAAAAAUGCCCAAACCUUUCAAGUUUGUAAAAUUGGGUUUAAACAGCACUACCUUUGAAUAUAAAAUGCAUUUCAAUAUAAUGAUAAUUUAACACCCCCCCCCCCCACCACCACCACCAUGCGCACCUAUCUGAUUUUUAAAAAAUAUGAAAUUCAUAUGAUAAUCUCCUUGUAGCAAUGGUAUGUUCCAAAAGAGAAAAUUAGAACAAUAUUAAUUUAUAAUGAAGCAAUCUUCUUAGGGUUUUUGUUACUGAUCCCUGCUUCACACCAAAGCACGUAGCGGGAAAAACUAUACAGAAUAAAAUUAUUUCUAAUAAUCCUUAAGCGGUAAAGAAAUUGAUAAUUUACAAUCAUUCAUUACAUUUAACUUUAUAAGCUUUCAUCAAAAAUAAAUAAAAACCUCAUACAUGUAUAGACAUAUAAUUUACACAUCAAUGCAGCCACUGAUGUGUAUUCCAAAGGGACUCAACUUGUCAUACUGGUCUAGAAAAUAAUGAAGGUCCUGAAUGCAACAAUAUUAAUAUGAUACAAAAUAUUUGUCAGACGAGUCAGAUUGCAUGCUCAAUCUUAAUUUUGAUACUUGUAUAUAUAUUUGAUAAAUAAUUUUUUUUGGUUUCAGUGAAAUCCUUAUAUUCCCUGUCUAACUCUUAAUCUCAGAGCAGCCUUUACCUGGUCAUAAUUUGAAGAAAACUUCUGUAUAUCACAUGGACUAAGACUUCUUGCCCAUUGACAUGACUGAUUUAUUUAACCUUUAAACGUAUCCCCAGGUCAGGAUUUGAAUUAGCUUAAAUCUACCAUUAAAGUCAUAUGCUAGAUAAAGAUAAAAAUUAAUACAUGUACUUGCAUAGUAAUAUUGAGCAGACAGUAUAUUCCUAUGUCCAGUUUGACCCUUGACCUUUGACCAUGUGACGUCAAAAUCAAUAGGGGUUAUCUUCUUCUAAAGAUAUACCAGUGUACCAAGUUUGAUGACUGUCAAGCAAAGGGUUCUCUAGACAUUGAGCGGACAGUAUAUUCCUAUGCCCAGAGUAGAUUGACCCUUAAACUUUGACCUGAAAAACAAUAGGGGUUCUCUUCUAUACUCAUAACCAACCCACAUAUUAAAUAUUAUGAUCAAGUGAAUGGUUCUCAAGAUAUUAACCGGACAACAUGUGGUCUACCAACCAGCCAACAGGUGCAAAGUAAUAUGCCUCUCUUCUUUGAGGGGGGGAGGGGGGGGGGCAUAAAAAUGCACUACCCAAAUGGUACCAAAUAUUUUUUUCUUAUUAGAAAAUGCAUUAUAUUUGUGAAAAAUGAAAACAUAUAUUACCUACGUACAAUGUAUCCAUAUAUAACUCUUAAUCUAAAGAACAUGUCUGAUAUGCUUCUGUCUGGUUUCAGAUGCAUUUCAAGCUGAAAUAAAUAUAUAUAAAUAAAUAGCUAUAAAUCUAACUGCUUAAAAAAUCUGAAUUUGAGAAACUUUCAUAAUCAUAAAUUAUUACAAUGCUUUCAAAUUAUAUCUUGAUAGACUAGUGCACUUACAGAAUUAAUCUGAAAACUAUGUAAACUGAUCUUAAUUAUCAUGAUUUAAUUUCUACAUGCUCUGAGAAAUUUCAAAAACAAUGAAGAAUGAUAUUUGAUAACUCAUACAGUCAGGGUCAUUCAAUAAUACUGGACAUUCAUUUCUAGUCUGUGACUGGAUCUAGCCAAGAAAUAGUCAAAAUAAUUCUUCCAUAACAUUGAAGGUCCAAAGUUUUUAGCUCACCUGAACCGAAGGUUCAAGUGAGCUAUUCUGAUCACAUUUUGUCCGGCGUCCGUCUGUCUGUCUGUAAACUUUUCACAUUUUCGACUUCUUCUCCAGAACCACGGGGCCAAUUUCAACCUAACUUGGCCAAAAGCAUCCUUGGGUGAAGGGCUUUCAAGUUUGUUCAAAUGAAGGGCCAUGUUCCUUUCAAAGGAGAGAUAAUCACAAAAAUGCAAAAAUAGGGUGGGGUCAUUUAAAAAUCUUCUUCUCAAGAACCACUGGGCCAGAAGAGCUGAAAUUUACCUGAAAGCUUCCUGACAUAGUGCAGAUUCAAGUUUGUUCAAAUCAUGGCCCCCGGGGAUAAGAUGGGGCCCCAAGGGGGGGGAUCAAAGUUUUACACACACAUAUAUAGGGAAAAACGUUAAAAAUCUUCUUCUCAAGAACCACUAAGCCAGAAAAGCUGAGAUUUACAUGAAAGCUUCCUGACAUAGUUCAGAUUCAAGUUUGUUCAAAUCAUGGGCCCCUGGGGUUGGAUGGGGCCACAAUAGGGGAUCAAAGUUUUACAUACAAAUAUAUAGGAAAAAUCUUUUAAAAUCUUCUUCUCAAGAACCACUAAGCCAGAAAAGCUGAUUUUUACAUGAAAACUUUCUGACAUAGUGCAGAUUCAAGUUUGUUCAAAUCAUGGCCCCCGGGGAUAAGAUGGGGCCCCAAGGGGGGGGGGUCAAAGUUUUACACACACAUAUAUAGGGAAAAACGUUAAAAAUCUUCUUCUCAAGAACCACUAAGCCAGAAAAGCUGAGAUUUACAUGAAAGCUUCCUGACAUAUUGCAGAUUCAAGUUUGUUCAAAUCAUGGGCCCCUGGUGUUGGAUGGGGCCACAAUAGGGGAUCAAAGUUUUACAUACAAAUAUAUAGGAAAAAUGUUUAAAAAUCUUCUUCUCAAGAACCACUAAGCCAGAAAAGCUGAUUUUUACAUGAAAACUUUCUGACAUAGUCCAGAUUCAAGUUUGUUCAAAUCAUAGCCCCCGGGGAUAAGAUGGGGCCCCAAGGGGGGGAUCAAAGUUUUACACACAAAUAUAUAGGGAAAAACGUUAAAAAUCUUCUUCUCAAGAACCACUAAGCCAGAAAAGCUGAGAUUUACAUGAAAGCUUCCUGACAUAGUUCAGAUUCAAGUUUGUUCAAAUCAUGGGCCCCUGGGGUUGGAUGGGGCCACAAUAGGGGAUCAAAGUUUUACAUACAAAUAUAUAGGAAAAAUCUUUAAAAAUCUUCUUCUCAAGAACCACUAAGCCAGAAAAGCUGAUUUUUACAUGAAAACUUUCUGACAUAGUGCAGAUUCAAGUUUGUUCAAAUCAUGGCCCCCGGGGAUAAGAUGGGGCCCCAAGGGGGGGGGGUCAAAGUUUUACACACAAAUAUAUAGGGAAAAACUUUAAAAAUCUUCUUCUCAAGAACCACUAAGCCAGAAAAGCUGAUUUUUACAUGAAAACUUUCUGACAUAAUGCAGAUUCAAGUUUGUUCAAAUCAUGGGCUCCGGGGGUUGGAUGGGGCCACAAUAGGGGAUCAAAGUUUUACAUACAAAUAUAUAGUUAAAAUCUUUUUCUCAAUAACCACUGAGUCAGAAAAACUUAUAUUUACAAGAAAACUUUCUGACAUAGUUCAGAUUCAAGUUUGUUCAAAUCAUGGUCCCCGGGGGGUAGGAUGAGGCCACAAGUGGGGGGGGGGUCAAAGUUUUACAUACAAAUAUAGAAAAAAGCUUUAAAAGAACCAUUGGGCCAAAGAAGUUGACAUUUACAUGAAAGCUUUCUGACAUAGUGUAGAUUCAAGUUUGCAAAGGGUAGUUUGGGCCAUAAUAGGGACCAAGGUUUUACAUGCAAAUAUAUAUGGAAAGUCUUCAGAUAUGGGCCAAGGUGACUCAGGUGAGCGAUGUGGCCCAUGGGCCUCUUGUUGUUAAGGUCACUUAAUUGCUAUCUGUUUUUGUCUGUCGCUGUGCAUAUGUGCAGGUGUGUGUCAUUUGUAAACUUCUCACAUUUUCAAUUCAUUCUCAAGAACCGCUGAUUAAAAGCUGAUUUCAAUUACACUUGCCACAAAGUAUCCUUAGGUGAGGGGAAUUCUUUUUUUUUUCAAAUGAAGGGUAGUGCCCCCUUCCAAGGAGAGAUAAUCAAGAAAAGGUGAUGUCAUUAAAAAAAUCCCUUCUCAAGAAGAGUUGAAUCUUAUCUGAAAGCCUCCUGACAUAGUGUAAAUUCUUUUUUUUUAAAUCAUGGCCCCUGGGGGUAGGGUGGGGCCACAGAAGUGGAUCAAAGUUUGACAUAGGAAUAUAUAGGAAGAAAUCUUAUAAGAUCUUCUCAAGAAGGCCAUGGCUGGCCAUAUUAAAAUUGGGAGCAUCCUUAAAUUGUUCCGAUUCCAGUUUGUUCAAAUCAAGACCCCCAGAAGUACGAUGGUUGAAAUAUUACAUACGUAAGUUUAAAAAAAAAAAAAUUGGCUAUAUAUCACAAUUAUUGGCUAUAUCGAAUCUGUUAUAACAUAAUGCAAGCAUGACUCCUAUUAUAUCAUCUGUAUAGUUCAUUUAUCUGAGCAUUAUAACCUGUGUGAUUGAUUUUCUAUUUUGAGGUAUGAAGUUGAUGAGUUCAAAUUAAAAUACAGCAUCUGUGGACUGUGGAGCUAAGAGAUUUUAAUAUUUUCCUGCACAUUUUCAGACUCUAGUUCAGUAUUGUUACAUGCAAAUUAUCAGGACAGAAUUGGAGGAAGUGAAAUUUGCUUGAAAUAACCAUCGGAUCAGGAAGCAAAAAAUGGGAGAUGUUGUUCCUGGGAUUCCAGAAUUCCUUUAUCAUGUUCCAGAAAUGUUAGGUAUUCCAAUUGUGAAUGACGAAAAGUUUAAGUUCCUAAAGGACCAGUGCUGUUUUAAAAAUGACUUGGAUAAGGACAUUCAAGAAUCUCUUGAUGUUAUAUGCGAUCAUCACCGGCCUUCAUCAGUAUUUGAAGGCAAAGCAAU